rnacentral:rRNA from 1 species
UGGGGAAUAUUGGACAAUGGGCGAAAGCCUGAUCCAGCCAUGCCGCGUGAGUGAUGAAGGCCCUAGGGUUGUAAAGCUCUUUCACCGGGGAAGAUAAUGACGGUACCCGGAGAAGAAGCCCCGGCUAACUUCGUGCCAGCAGCCGCGGUAAUACGAAGGGGGCUAGCGUUGUUCGGAAUUACUGGGCGUAAAGCGCACGUAGGCGGAUCGGUCAGUUAGGGGUGAAAUCCCAGGGCUCAACCCUGGAACUGCCUUUAAUACUGCCGGUCUAGAGUUCGAGAGAGGUGAGUGGAAUUCCGAGUGUAGAGGUGAAAUUCGUAGAUAUUCGGAGGAACACCAGUGGCGAAGGCGGCUCACUGGCUCGAUACUGACGCUGAGGUGCGAAAGCGUGGGGAGCAAACA